rnacentral:rRNA from 1 species
AUUGAACGCUGGCGGCAUGCUUUACACAUGCAAGUCGAGCGGUAACAGGCCUUCGGGUGCUGACGAGUGGCGAACGGGUGAGUAAUGCAUCGGAACGUACCCAGAGGUGGGGGAUAACGCAGCGAAAGCUGUGCUAAUACCGCAUGUGAUCUGAGGAUGAAAGCGGGGGACCGAGCAGCAAUGUUUGGCCUCGCGCCUUUGGAGCGGCCGAUGUCGGAUUAGCUAGUUGGUGGGGUAAAGGCCUACCAAGGCGACGAUCCGUAGCUGGUCUGAGAGGACGAACAGACACACGGGAACGGAGACGCGGCCCAGACCCCAGGGGGAGGCAGAAGGGGGGAAUUGGGGACAAGGGGCGAAAGCAGGACCAAGAAAGGCGGCGUGGGGAAAGGAGGCCUGCGGGUGGAAAACCAGUUUGGGAGGGAACGAAGGGGUGCCAGCAAAGAACGGGAGGAAAGGAAGGAACAGGAAAAAAAAGAACGGGAAAACAACGGG